rnacentral:rRNA from 1 species
AAUCAACGCUGGCGGCGUGCCUAACACAUGCAAGUCGAGCGCGAAAGGGGAGCAAUCCCCAAGUAGAGCGGCGAACGGGUGAGUAACGCGUGGGUAAUCUGCCUCCGAGUGGGGAACAACACCGGGAAACUGGUGCUAAUACCGCAUGACAUCGUUGGACCUUCGGAUCUGACGAUACAAAGGCCGGGGACCGCAAGGCCUGGCGCUUGGAGAGGAGCCCGCGUCCGAUUAGCAGUUGGUGGGGUAAUGGCCCACCAAGGCUACGAUCGGUAGCCGGCCUGAGAGGGCGGACGGCCGCACUGGGACUGAGACACGGCCCAGACUCCUACGGGGAGGCAGCAGUGGGGUAAUUUUUCGCAAUGGGCGAAAGCCUGACGAAGCAACGCCGCGUGGAGGAUGAAGGCC